rnacentral:rRNA from 1 species
GAUGAACGCUGGCGGCGUGCUUAACACAUGCAAGUCGAACGGGAAACCUUUUAUUGAAGCUUCGGCAGAUUUAGCUGGUUUCUAGUGGCGGACGGGUGAGUAACGCGUGGGUAACCUGCCUUAUACAGGGGGAUAACAGUCAGAAAUGGCUGCUAAUACCGCAUAAGCGCACAGAGCUGCAUGGCUCAGUGUGAAAAACUCCGGUGGUAUAAGAUGGACCCGCGUUGGAUUAGCUGGUUGGUGGGGUAACGGCCCACCAAGGCGACGAUCCAUAGCCGGCCUGGAGGGGGGAACGGCCAAAUUGGGACUGGCACACGGCCCAGACCCCUACGGGAGGCAGCAGGGGGGAAAAUUGCACAAUGGGGGAACCCCGAAUGCAGCGGCGCCGGGGGAAGGAAGAAGUAUCCCGGAAUGUAAACUUCUAUCAGCAGGGAAGAUAAUGCCGGUACCUGACAAAAAAGCCCCGGCAAACUCCGU